CCUACGGGAGGCAGCAGUGAGGAAUAUUGGUCAAUGGACGAGAGUCUGAACCAGCCAAGUAGCGUGAAGGAUGACUGCCCUAUGGGUUGUAAACUUCUUUUAUAUGGGAAUAAAAUGUUCCACGUGUGGGAUUUUGUAUGUCCCAUAUGAAUAAGGAUCGGCUAACUCCGUGCCAGCAGCCGCGGUAAUACGGAGGAUCCGAGCGUUAUCCGGAUUUAUUGGGUUUAAAGGGAGCGUAGGUGGAUUGUUAAGUCAGUUGUGAAAGUUUGCGGCUCAACCGUAAAAUUGCAGUUGAAACUGGCAGUCUUGAGUACAGUAGAGGUGGGCGGAAUUCGUGGUGUAGCGGUGAAAUGCUUAGAUAUCACGAAGAACUCCGAUUGCGAAGGCAGUUCACUGGACUGCAACUGACACUGAGGCUCGAAAGUGUGGGUAUCAAACAGGAUUAGAUACCCGUGUAGUC
rnacentral:rRNA from 1 species